UAAUAACAGUUUCUGUGAUUAUUGUGGUCGUUGGCAUUGGAGUAUUUGUGUGGUAUAAGAAACGCAGCGGUGUAUAUUAUGCUCAUCACCAAGAUUGCAAAUCACCAGAGUAUGAGAAUACUCUAGAACAAACACUGUGAAUGAAGGAAAACAAGGCCUGACCCCUUCAAUGCUCAUUAUAAGUCAUGCGAAGCUUAGUUGCAACAGAACUGAAGAUAUUUAUUCAUUUGAUUCAUAAUUUUUUUUUUGUCCCUCUGUACACUUAAAAGCUUUCUAAAAUCUACCAAGGUAACUGUCGUCCAAUAUACUGCAAACUUUCAACAUUCCUUUAGUACUUGGAAAAGCCAGAGAGACCCAGUAGGAGGUUAUAGGGUCUUGUGUGGCUCUCAUGUGCAUUUUGGUACCUCUCCUCACCUGUGAAUCUCAGCUUUAUCAUAUGACAACAUUGACAUAAAAAAAUCUUUCCACGCACGAAUCUCCAAGGUCUGCCUUCUAAUGGAGCAGCGUGCUAAAUGAAGAAAAGUGUCCAGCUAACUCCUUAACACAAGUCUUCAUAAAGUCUUCACAGCAAGCUUGGUUGUGAAUACUGGCUGACUGGAUUGACAUUAAACCACAAAAACACUGCUCUGGAGCUUGCUUUAGUUAUUGCUUGUUACUGAAGUAAAUCACAAUUAUUUUAAACAUUUUAUUUAAAAAAAAAAAAAAAAGAAUUUUACUGUAAGCCAUCUUGAAACUGGCAUUUUUUGAUCAUCUCGGAAGGAUUCCUCUGAAAUUGCGUUCACGCAGUUGCUGCUCUAGUUACUUGCAUUUUGUGUACUCGGACAUUACGUGCUAAAGGCUCCAGGACAAAAUGAACAAGGUGCUUGACAUUACCCUCUCCUUGUCUAUGUAAAGGAUGGACGUGGUCGGUACACAUGUAUAUUUCCCCUUGUGGCUGGCUUGUGGAAGUCUCCAUCAAACAAUAUUAUGUGUGCUGUAGGGAAGGAAAACUCAUGACACCACCUACAGUGAUAUUAGCGAAAGGAAGGCCUUAGCACCUACAGGUCAGGGAUUCUCUUUUUUCAGGUAGAGAUGUAAAUAGCGUCCACUCAGAAGACCACCGGGCACUGCUGCCGGAGCCCUGGCACGUAGCACUACCGUAUGAACUGAGCAUGCACAAGCUGCCAUCAACCUUAAAGGGCCAUGCAGAGUGCAAGGAGGCCGGGGAAUGGCUUAAUUUGAUUGUAUUAAAACACAUUGGAAAUAAUUGUUCUUUUAAAUAAUUGUAGGAUUA